AGAGAUGUGUGAUGACGCAUAUCAAUAAGCGGAGGAAAAGAAACUAACAAGGAUUCCCUUAGUAACGGCGAGUGAAGCGGGAAGAGCUCAAAUUUGAAAUCUUCAAGGUUCUACCUUGACGAAUUGUAGUUUAUAGAAGUGUUUUCUGUUAGUAGAGUGGCAAAAGUUCUUUGGAGUAGGACAUCAUAGAGGGUGAGAAUCCCGUAUUUGGUCAUUCCUUCUAGCGUUGUGAUACACUUUCAACGAGUCGGAUUGUUUGGGAAUGCAGUCCAAAAUGGGUGGUAAAUUUCAUCUAAAGCUAAAUAUUGGCGAGAGACCGAUAGCGAACAAGUACCGUGAGGGAAAGAUGAAAAGAACUUUGAAAAGAGAGUUAAACAGUACGUGAAAUUGUCAAAAGGGAAGCGUUUGACACCAGUGUUGUUUUUCCGAAAAUCAAUUACGAAUGUUUUAUUUUUGAGGAGUUAUGACUUCAUCGGCUUGCUUCUCUCUUUAUGAAACUUUCUUAAUGCACUUUUCGGUUAACAAGUCAACAUCAAUUUCUUUUGUUGUAAAAGGGUAUGAGGAAGGUGACUUUCUUUUCGGAGAAAGUGUUUAUAGCCUUGUACCUCUGCAAUCGGAGAGAUUGAGGUCUGCAGCGUAGAUCCUUCGGGGUUAGAUACAUUUGUGCUAAGUUAUAGCUUUCCAUAGACAACUUGUUGACUAUGUUUAGUCUUGUAGCUUACUCGCUGACGCUAUUUUACCUACGCUUAGGAUGUUGAGUAGCGACAUACGCAC
rnacentral:rRNA from 1 species